CUCGGCUAAGUGCGGCUUGGCGGCUCGACAUCCGAAUAGUAUACCGAUUCCUAGGUUUUCGACCCUUCCGAAGCCAUUUCCGCCCUCGUUUCAACCAUUUGAGGAGGUAGUUAGGCGCUGGAGUUAGCGUUGUGGGCGACUUCGGUCAAGGCCAAGGAGGAAAGGGCAAGGCUCCCAUGUACGGGUGACGGUGGAUGAGGCGAAGGGCCAUGGAAAUCUUGAGGAGGGUUUGUUGUGUCGUAGCGCCUGUUGGAUUCUCUUGGGUUCUUAGUUUUGCGAAUUGUUUUCUCUAGUCUCUGUUGAUUACUUCUAGGCU